rnacentral:piRNA from 1 species
UGCCCAGCAUGCACAAGCCUCAGUGCUACU